CUGUAAAAUGGAGAGAGUGAUAUUUACCUUGACGUGCUGCUGUCAGGAUUAGAUAGAACACACCGAGGGAAGGGCAGGUACAGUCCCCAGUUUUCUUUUCAGUAACGCGAAUCACGGCAAAUGCUUCCCCAUCCAGGAAAACCUUCACAAUGUUCAUGAUCAGAUCACGAGCAGUUUUAGAAAAUACUUAAGCUUUGGCAUCAGGUAGGCUUGGGUGCAAAUACAGGCUCUGCUCCUGACCAGCUGUGUGACCCAGCCUCAGUUUUCUCAUAUGUGAAAUGGGGAUAAUUAUGCUUACCUUGCACCAAAUGGUGUUGAGAGCUCUUGAAGUGAUCUUUCCUGUUUGUCUGGAAUUGGGAAUUAGAUCCUAUGGCUGAGAGCAAAGGCAACGACUGCCCCUCAACCUAACACAGUGUCUCAGCAGAGGUUGUUUUGUCACCAGGGGACAUUUGGAAAUGCCUGGAGACAUCUUUGAUUGUCACACCUGGGGGUUGCUAUAGGUAUCUAGUGAGGAGAGGCCAGGAUGCUGCUAAACAUCUUCCAAGGCAAGUAUACUUCCCCCCACUGAGUACUCUGGCCCCAAAUAUCAACAGUGCAGACAGAGAUUGACAUUAACUGUGGCCUAAGAUCACAAAUCGUUCUUCAGGUUUAUAGUCUCAUCAAGAAAGAGAGAUAGAUUCUUCAUUCCCCUGUAUUUGUUGAGCCACCAGCUGACUUUAGUUGGAGAAAGAACAGUGAGGUAGUUGGCAGGGGUUGUGGCUCAAAGAGGGGCAAACGUGCCUCCUCAAAUUCCUGGUUCCCAAGGGGCAUGGUGGCAGACAGUGGACCCUGUCCAGGUCUACAGGCCUCGGCACUGGGCACAGAAGGGAGCUAAGAUUGGGCUGCAUGCUUGUUAGGGGCCACCCCAGUGCAGACAAAAAGGCCAUGUGUUAGAAAGACCCUCGACCUGGGGGUUGCCCAGAGGACAGAGCUGAGACUCACAAGACCAUGCGAGGCGUCUGAGGGCAGCUCGGGAUCAGUUCCUUCAUUAGCGGGGUCUGCCACAGCCUCCGCUGAGCUUGCAGACAAGGAGUCAGAUUGUGAGAGGUGAGCCACAGAAACCCGGUGGCCUCCUCUCAGCCACCACGGAUGCAGGGUUUUCAUGAAAGCGACCACUGUCCCUUUUGUUGAGAGAGAAUAGCCAACUCACCCUGGCCAGUCACAUGCAGAAGUGUCUUUUUUUCUAUCCUUCCUCCAGAACCGGAGCCAGAAUGGAAAAGCCAGGAGGAGGAAAGAUGCAGGAGACAGAAACGCACACGUCUCCAUUUCCCUCCUUCCUAGCUGUGGAACUCACAUUCCGGCUCAGGGAUGACACUGCUCACAGUGUGGCCCACAGGCCACACCUGGCCAGCACCUGAUUCUAGAAAGCUGGCCAACACCUGUACUAUUGGCUUGUUCUGGGAAUAGAGGAGAUGAUGCAUGUGAACAAACAGGCAUGGACUAAGCACCCACUAAAUCCCAGCCAUUCACAGUAUCAUUGAACCUAUCAGUGCUCAACGAAAAUAACAAUUACGAUAAUGCCUAACAUCUAAAGCUGAAGAAUUCUUCUUACCUCGUCUCAAAUACUCAAACAGCAAAGAUGUGCAAGAUGGAAAACUGUCGAAAUGCUCUCUCCAAGAAUUGAUUCAAAUCCUUCAGCCUAGAGCCUGGACCAGCAGCCUUUUGCGACCUCAUACCCCAGGACUCUCCCCUCUUACCGGCGGUGUGGGGAGGGAGGUGCUGUCUGUCCACAGUGGCCUCCCCUCUGCAGACACACAGCCAGUGCAGAAGACCACACCUGGAGGGAAGCGGUCCUGCUAUGGCUGCUGAUUUAGAAACGACCAUGCUGCCCCCAGAAAAGCAGAGCGACUUUUGCUACUUAUUGUCAGAACAAGUGAAACUGAGGGGAAAUCAUGAAGCACUUGUGGAUAGCCCGGGAAUAGCUGCCACACAUGGUUCCACCAAGUGGCCUCCAUGGCUGUGUGGGCCGCGCAAAGAGCAAAUUCCCACGUGAACUGUAACAAACAUUAAGGCAGCUCCACUGCUAAACAUCAUUUCUUGCUGAUGGAAUUAGAAAGCUUGUUAGUCUCUGGAAUAAACAUGCCCGAAUGUGCUGAAUGAAAACUAGCAUAUGGCUUGUUUCUUUGGAAUAAACAAUUUU